rnacentral:rRNA from 1 species
AGAGUUUGAUCCUGGCUCAGGAUGAACGCUAGCGGCAGGCCUAAUACAUGCAAGUCGAACGGUAACAUGAGAGCUUGCUCUUGAUGACGAGUGGCGCACGGGUGCGUAACGCGUAUGCAACCUACCCUUUACUGGGGGAUAGCCCGGAGAAAUCCGGAUUAAUACCCCAUGGUACCAUGAAGUAGCAUUACUUAUUGGUUAAAGAUUUAUUGGUAAAGGAUGGGCAUGCGUGACAUUAGUUAGUUGGUAAGGUAACGGCUUACCAAGACGAUGAUGUCUAGGGGUUCUGAGAGGAAGGUCCCCCACACUGGUACUGAGACACGGACCAGACUCCUACGGGAGGCAGCAGUAGGGAAUAUUGGUCAAUGGACGCAAGCCUGAACCAGCCAUGCCGCGUGCAGGAUGACAGCUUUCUGAGUUGUAAACUGCUUUUAUAUAGGAACAAAUAGGCCAUGCGUGGCAAGUUGCGUGUACUAUAUGAAUAAGCACCGCUAACU